UAGGGAAUCUUCGGCAAUGGGGGGAACCCUGACCGAGCAACGCCGCGUGAGUGAAGAAGGUUUUCGGAUCGUAAAGCUCUGUUGUUAAGGAAGAACGAGAGUGAGAAUGGAAAGUUCAUACUGUGACGGUACUUAACCAGAAAGGGACGGCUAACUACGUGCCAGCAGCCGCGGUAAUACGUAGGUCCCGAGCGUUGUCCGGAUUUAUUGGGCGUAAAGCGAGCGCAGGCGGUUAGAAAAGUCUGAAGUGAAAGGCAGUGGCUCAACCAUUGUAGGCUUUGGAAACUGUUUAACUUGAGUGCAGAAGGGGAGAGUGGAAUUCCAUGUGUAGCGGUGAAAUGCGUAGAUAUAUGGAGGAACACCGGUGGCGAAAGCGGCUCUCUGGUCUGUAACUGACGCUGAGGCUCGAAAGCGUGGGGAGCGAACAGG
rnacentral:rRNA from 1 species